rnacentral:rRNA from 1 species
ACGAACGCUGGCGGCAGGCCUAACACAUGCAAGUCGAGCGGACCUUUCGGGGUCAGCGGCGGACGGGUGAGUACGCGUGGGAAUAUGCCCUUCUCUACGGAAUAGUCCUGGGAAACUGGGGGUAAUACCGUAUACGCCCUUUGGGGGAAAGAUUUAUCGGGGAAGGAUUAGCCCGCGUUGGAUUAGGUAGUUGGUGGGGUAAUGGCCUACCAAGCCGACGAUCCAUAGCUGGUUUGAGAGGAUGAUCAGCCACACUGGGACUGAGACACGGCCCAGACUCCUACGGGAGGCAGCAGUGGGGAAUCUUAGACAAUGGGGGCAACCCUGAUCUAGCCAUGCCGCGUGAGUGAUGAAGGCCUUAGGGUUGUAAAGCUCUUUCAGCUGGGAAGAUAAUGACGGUACCAGCAGAAGAAGCCCCGGCUAACUCCGUG